rnacentral:rRNA from 1 species
AGUGAACGCUGGCGGUAGGCCUAACACAUGCAAGUCGAACGGCAGCACAGAGGAGCUUGCUCCUUGGGUGGCGAGUGGCGGACGGGUGAGGAAUACAUCGGAAUCUACUCUGUCGUGGGGGAUAACGUAGGGAAACUUACGCUAAUACCGCAUACGACCUACGGGUGAAAGCAGGGGAUCUUCGGACCUUGCGCGAUUGCAUGAGCCGAUGUCGGAUUAGCUAGUUGGCGGGGUAAAGGCCCACCAAGGCGACGAUCCGUAGCUGGUCUGGGAGGAUGAUCGAGCACACUGGAACUGAGACACGGUCCAGACUCCUCCGGGAGGCAGCAGUGGGGAAUAUUGGACAAUGGGCGCAAGCCUGAUCCAGCCAUACCGCGUGGGUGAAGAAGGCCUUCGGGUUGUAAAGCCCUUUUGUUGGGAAAGAAAUCCAGCUGGUUAAUACCCGGUUGGGAUGACGGUACCCAAAGAAUAAGCACCGGCUAACUUCGUGCCAGCCGCCGCGGUAA